UUAACUUAUUAUGUUUUUACUCAGACGACACUAAUAUUCAGAGUUUUGAUUUCCUCUGGUAGGCACUUACCAGCCGAAGCCGGUAGUCGAGCCGAAGCCUGACGGCCUACCAAAGCAACAAAGGUAUAAAAUACACAGGGUGGGAGAUCUACCCCGAAGGGCAUGAACUCUGUAAUGAUCCUUCCGCAGGUUCACCUACGGAAA
rnacentral:misc_RNA from 1 species